UACGGAGGGGGCGAGCGUUGUCCGAAUUUAUUGGGCGUAAAGCGCGUGUAGGCGGGUGAACAAGCCUGGGGUGAAAGGUUGGGGCUCAACCCCAAGAGUGCCCUGGGGACUGUUCGCCUGGAGGCCGGCAGAGGAGAGUGGAAUUCCUGGUGUAGCGGUGGAAUGCGUAGAGAUCAGGAAGAACACCCAUGGCGAAGGCAGCUCUCUGGGCCGGUACUGACGCUGAGACGCGAAAGCGUGGGGAGCGAACGGG
rnacentral:rRNA from 1 species